ACGAGGAAGCCCCCAAAGGAGCUCAUCCCGGUAUGAAAGGAGAACCGAUCGACGAUAUGACAAUCGGCCGAGCGAUAACAAGGAAACAAGACAUAGGAGCAGGAUUAGGGACGAAGGUGGAGGUCGCCCUCUGAGAGGGAUGAUAAAUACCAUAUCAGGAGGAUUCGAUGGGGGGGAUCAUCCUCUUCAGCCACAAAAGAAGUAUACGGGCAUUAAGGUCGAUACACGCUGUGGACGUCCCUAAAAGGACUAUGCCUCCCAUAACCUUCUCUGAUGAAGAUUUCCAUGCGCC
rnacentral:lncRNA from 1 species